CUGCCAUGUAGCCCGAUGGCCACUGGAUUAUUCAUCGUCGCAAGCUACGGUCACUUAGUCCGGACUUGGUAGUCGGGUUCGAAUAUCAUUUGUAUUGGUCACGUGGUGAAGGCAUAUAAAUAGGCGAACAUGUGUUUGUACGGCAUUCUAAGCACGCUCGCUAGUUCCACGUACAGGUAAAUUUUACAAUAUUUCUAUGGCGGAUAGUAACCAUUUAUCAGAUGACAUUAAUCUGUGUAUAUAUUGAUGUGUAUUAACAUGAGUAGUUUUGUUUGCGAUAUAUUUCUUAAGGACAUUACGAGUGAUGAAUAAAGUGCUAGCGAGCUGCCAUCCUACUUAUA